UACGUAGGGUGCGAGCGUUAAUCGGAAUUACUGGGCGUAAAGCGUGCGCAGGCGGUGCUGUAAGACCGAUGUGAAAUCCCCGGGCUUAACCUGGGAAUUGCAUUGGUGACUGCAGCGCUGGAGUAUGGCAGAGGGGGGUGGAAUUCCACGUGUAGCAGUGAAAUGCGUAGAGAUGUGGAGGAACACCGAUGGCGAAGGCAGCCCCCUGGGCCAAUACUGACGCUCAUGCACGAAAGCGUGGGGAGCAAACAGG
rnacentral:rRNA from 1 species